UUUUGAAAUAACAUUUUUUCGCUGGGUAUAGAAUUCUAAGUUGAUGUGUUUUUUUUUCUUUUAAUACUUCAAAAAAAUGAGGCUCUACUUUCUGAUUGUAUUUUUUCCUAUAAGAAUUCUGUCAUAAACUUAAUGUGUCAUUUUUCCCUGGCUAGUUUUGAUCAAUCUGAUUAUAAUGUGCCUUAAUGUAGUUUUCUUCAUGUUCCUUUUGCUUGGGUUCAUUGAGCUGCAUGGGUCUCUGGGUUUAUGGUUUUCACCAAAUACGGAAAUAUUUUGGCCAUUCAAAAGAAUUUUCUGUCCCCACUUUUCUUCAGAAACCCCAAUUAUACGUACAAGUCGGCUUGAUGUCCCAUGGCUCACUGGUGUGCUGUUUAGUAUUUUUUUCUCUGUUUCAUUUUGGGUGGUUCUAUUGCUGUGUCUUCAUGUCUUUUCCUGCAGUGUCUCAUUAGCAAUUAAUUCUAAUAUAACCUUUGUCUUAGCUGUUGUAGUUUUUCUCUCUACAAGUUUGAUAUGAAUCUCUUCUUUCUGAUCAUUUCCUUUUUUCAGCUUUAUUGAGGUACAAUUGACUAAAGCUAUUUAAACUAUAUUACGUAAUAAUUUGAUACACAGUAUACACUGUGGAAGGAUUUCCCCCCAUUGAAUUAAUUACCACAGGAUUUGAAUCAUUUUUAUAUCUUCACUUUCUUAAAUUUUCUACAUAGGGAAUAAAGUUAUAGUCAUUUUUAAUUUCUUUGCUAAUCAUAAAAUGUUCGUCAGUUCUGAGUGGGUUUCUACAGGGUCACUGUAUUGGAUAUAUCGUCCUGCUGCUUUGUGUGCCUUGUCAUUUAGAUUGGAUGCUAGGCGUUGUGACUUUUACCUUAGUGGAUGCUUGGUAUUUUGUAUUGAAUGUUCUUCUAGUACACAGAUACUUGCAAACAGUUGUAUCCAUUCAGGACAUGAUUUUAAGAUUUGUUUGGCAGGUUUGGAGAAAUAUUUAGUCCAGGAUUAAUUCACCCCAUUGCUGAGGCAAGACUCUCUCGAAUACUCAUAGGCGCCUCAUGUUGUGAAGUUUUUUCAGUCUGGUCGGUGGGAACACAGUGUUCCUGGUCCUGAGUGCUGUGUGGUAUUCCCUCUGAUUCUUUGGGGCAGUUCUUUCCUGUUUUGGGUACUUUCUUCAAACCUGUGUGCUGGUCGGUACUCUCAUGACUCCUGGAGGAAACCAGACUUCCAGGUUGGCUCCCUGUGCACCUGCAUCCUCUUCAGCAUGUGUGCUGGCAUUCUAGCUGCCUUGGUUUCCCUGGACCCUCAGGUUUAUUUCCGCAGCUCAGUUUGCAGGGUUUUGCCUUUUCUUCCCUCCCCCCACCCCCCAGGGCUGCAGCCUGAAAACCCCCUAAAGGCAGCAAGCUGAGGCAACCAUGGGGCUCGCCUUGUUUGCUGCCCAUGUCUCUGGGAUUGCUGUCCUUGGUACCUGAUGUCCAGUGUCAGGCUGCAUUGGUUUGCAUAUGGGUUUUUUCAGGCAGGAGGGAAAUCGAAUCCUUGUUACUCCAUCUUAACUUGAAGUGAAAGAUAAUCAUGGGUGUGGGUAUAUAAUGCGCUCACAGUUUUUCAUUUUAAAUGGUCUACUUUUAGGUUUGAUUUUUCUCACCUCAAUUACAUGCUUUUUAUGUCUAAAUGACUUUUGUCCAGUCUUCUACUAUAACUUCUCGUUUUAUAUCCUUGUCGACACAGCAUGUGGCCUAUGUGAUAAAAGUCUGUAGAGAGACAAACCAGAUCGCUAGCCGGGUGAUCCCAGGACUUCCCUCGGUUGCCCGGCAGUGAACCAGCAGGACGGCGCCCGUGGCCCAAGCGCGCCGCUCGAGUUCCCGAGGAACCCGGGGCCCACGGCCGUCGUCCUCCACUGACCCUCUGCCUGCGAGCUCUGUCCACAUGGGCGAUGCCUGCAGGGUCAAGGCCUUUUCCUUAAGUCUAGGGGUGCAAAACACUGGGGUUUUCUUGCAUGAAUCAGUACUGGACUUCACGGCCCAUGAUUUCUAGUUGGGGUUUAUUUACAGUGGAAUGUGAAUGUGGAGAACAUGUGGAGUAUUCAAGUUUUCUAGGGCACACAUCCAAAAUUUGUUUACAGUUGUCCUCAACAUAAUCUGACAGCACAUUUUUGUAAGGAUUUAUUUUUACUGAAACUUUACAAAGUAUUCAACUUGUUCAGAAACAGCUACUGUUUUUCUCAUUCGUGGGCAUUUUUCACAUUCAUAUUUCAUUGGCUUAUAUGUAUUUAAAUUAAUAACUUAUACUAAUAGGAACUGGUGUAAGCAGGUUUGGAACAACUUAAGUAAGCAAGAGUGAGUGAACAUUCAGGAGCUGCUGACUCGUCUCUGGCCUGCAGUGUGUCAGAGACAUUGGCGUUUAUUACAGGAGGAACAGAGAACACAAGUUAAGCCAAUAAAAGGAGUUAAACGUGCUUCUAAUAUGAAUACAUAAUAGAUUCUCACAGUUCUAAACUAAAACUGUAUCAAGAGAUACCUGUUGAGAAGUCUUGCAGCCACUCCUGUCCGUCCGCCUCCUUCCCUACCAGUUCCUGGUAGGCAACCACUUGCUAGUGUGUCAGCUGCAGUUCAGUAAACCACCUCAAACUCAGUGGCUGCAGAAGAGUCAUUUGGCCGGGACUCCACAGGGAUGGCUCUUCUCUGCUUUACGUGGCAUCACUGGGGUGACUCAAGUGGGGGCUGGAAGAUCCACUCCCAAGGCGGGUCACUCAUAUGACUGUCCAGCUGGUCUUGGCUGUUGGUGGGGAGCCCAGCCAAGGCUGUGAGCUGGGUGGUGGUUCCUCCCCGUGGGACUUGCUUUGGUUUUUCUUCAGCAUGGUGACUGGGACCCAAGAGAGGAAGGAAGAGGUGCAUGGUAUCCUAUGAUCUAGCUUAAGAAGUCAGAGCCCGGUGAUGAGAGAAGAGAGUCACGAUCACAUGGUAAGAGAAGAAUGUGGGACAGGAGCUCCUGCUGUGACCAUCUUUUAAAAACUGUAUCUGCCACGCCAUCUUCCAGGACCCAGACUCUACAAACAAUAUUACAGUAGCCUCCCCUUAUCCGCGUUUCAUUGGCCACAGUUUCAGUUACCUACCUUCAGUCACAGUCCAGAAGCAGAUGGUCCUUCUUCAGACGUAUAGUCAGAGGUCAGUGGGAGCCUGACACUUCAUCACAGGGCCCCCGCCAUUCACGUCACUUCAUCUCAUCACCUGGGUGUUUUAUCAUCUCAUGUCAUUAUAGGAAGAAGGAGAAAAGAAAGAAUUCAAAACAUGACCAAGAAAACACCGUUUUUCAGCUUUGAAGAAAAACCCACGUAUGACUUUGACGGUGACUGUGCAGAACCUGUAAACUGACACAGGAAGAACUGAAAGCCCGGCCUGGCAGGGAGGUGACCUACUGCCGUCAGAUUUCAGUGGCAGAGGGUAAAGUCAAAAGAUUUAUUAUCCUUAUUUCCUCCUCAGACCACUAGAAGGAAGUAAACAGCAGUUAUCAGUUAUCAGCUGUAAAUCCUAAGUCAACAUUAUUCACAAGAGUUCCACAAAGUAGAAGAAGAGAUAUCAGCAACAGAGAAAUAUUCAUGAGUCCUCACUGCCAAUUAAAAAACUCUAGACACUCAGUA